UACGUAGGGUGCGAGCGUUAAUCGGAAUUACUGGGCGUAAAGCGUGCGCAGGCGGUUUUGUAAGCCAGAUGUGAAAUCCCCGGGCUCAACCUGGGAAUGGCAUUUGGGACUGCACGGCUAGAGUGUGUCAGAGGGGGGUAGAAUUCCACGUGUAGCAGUGAAAUGCGUAGAUAUGCGGAGGAACACCGAUGGCGAAGGCAAUCCCCUGGACCUGUACUGACGCUCAUGCACGAAAGCGUGGGGAGCAAACGAGG
rnacentral:rRNA from 1 species